UACGAAGGGGGCUAGCGUUGCUCGGAAUCAUUGGGCGUAAAGAGCGUGUAGGCGGUCCGGUAAGUCCGCUGUGAAAGUCGGGGGCUCAACCCUCGAAUGCCGGUGGAUACUGUCGGGCUAGAGUGCGGAAGAGGCGAGUGGAAUUCCUGGUGUAGCGGUGAAAUGCGCAGAUAUCAGGAGGAACACCUAUUGCGAAGGCAGCUCGCUGGGACGACACUGACGCUGAGGAGCGAAAGCGUGGGGAGCGAACAGG
rnacentral:rRNA from 1 species